GCAAGGCUCUUCUAAGUCAAUAUGGACUGCAGAGAAGGCAAGAGGGGAUAAAUUCCCAAAGAAGAGGAGCGAGGUAGGAAGAGAUGACUGGGGGCCAGGGAACUGGAGAACAUUCCAGAUCAUCCCCUCCUCAGGCUUGAGGCACUGGUGACCCACUGAGGCAAAACAUACCUGAAUUUCAACCUAGAAGUUCAAGGUGAUCAUUGUAUGUAAACAACAGGCUCAAACAUCCUCCAAGGUGAUUGUGUCUAUUUGGGACGUGGAGAUUUUCAUGUCACGUGUGAAAUGAGGAUACUGUUUGGGUAUUAAACUGAUGUCUUUUUCAUUCAUCAUACCCUCUGACUUCCUGCCCACUAUCUUAUUGCUUCAGGGUAGGGUAGGGUAGCUACCAGC
rnacentral:lncRNA from 1 species